GACGAACGCUGGCGGCGUGCUUAACACAUGCAAGUCGAACGGAAAGGCCCUGCUUUUGUGGGGUGCUCGAGUGGCGAACGGGUGAGUAACACGUGAGUAACCUGCCCUUGACUUUGGGAUAACUUCAGGAAACUGGGGCUAAUACCGGAUAGGAGCUCCUGCUGCAUGGUGGGGGUUGGAAAGUUUCGGCGGUUGGGGAUGGACUCGCGGCUUAUCAGCUUGUUGGUGGGGUAGUGGCUUACCAAGGCUUUGACGGGUAGCCGGCCUGAGAGGGUGACCGGCCACAUUGGGACUGAGAGACGGCCCAGACUCCUACGGGAGGCAGCAGUGGGGUAUAUUGCACAAUGGGCGGAAGCCUGAUGCAGCAACGCCGCGUGCGGGAUGACGGCCUUCGGGUUGUAAACCGCUUUCGCCUGUGACGAAGCGUGAGUGACGGUAAUGGGUAAAGAAGCACCGGCUAACUACGUG
rnacentral:rRNA from 1 species